rnacentral:rRNA from 1 species
AGUGAACGCUGGCGGUAGGCCUAACACAUGCAAGUCGAACGGCAGCACAUUAUUAGCUUGCUCUUACGGGUGGCGAGUGGCGGACGGGUGCGGUAUACAUCGGAAUCUACUUUUUCGUGGGUGCUUACGUAGGGAAACUUACGCUAAUACCGCAUACGACCUACGGGUGAAAGCAGGUGAUCUUCGGACCUUGCGCGAUUGAAUGAGCCGAUGUCGGAUGAGAUAGUUGGCGGGGGAAAGGCCCAACAAGGCGACGAUCCGUAGCUGGUCUGCGAGGAUGAUCAGAGACAGUGGAAGUGAGACACGGACCAGACUACGACGGGAGGCAGCAGUGGGGAAUAUUGGACAAUGGGCGAAAGGAUGAUCCAGCAAUACGGGGGGGGUGAAGAAGGCAUUGGGGUGGGAAAGCCGAUUUGUUGGGAAAGAAAAGCAGCAGGUUAAGAAGAAGAAGUAAUGACGGUAACCAAAGAAUAAGCACCGGCUAACUUCGUG